rnacentral:rRNA from 1 species
AUUGAACGCUGGCGGCAGGCCUAACACAUGCAAGUCGAGCGGAGCGACGGACGGGUGAGUAAUUACUAGGAAUCUGCCUGGUAGUGGGGGAGAACGUCCGGAUACGGGCGGUAAUACCGCAUACUAUCUGAGGAGUGUAGGUCGGAUGAGUUAGUGGGUGGGGUAAAGGCCUACCAAGGCGACGAUCCGUAACUGGCCUGAGAGGAUGAUCAGUCACACUGGAACUGAGACACGGUCCAGACUCCUACGGGAGGCAGCAGUGGGGAAUAUUGGACAAUGGGCGAAAGCCUGAUGCAGCCAUGCCGCGUGUGUGAAGAAGGUCUUCGGAUUGUAAAGCACUUUCAGUUGGGAGGCGUUACCAACAGAAUAAGCACCGGCUAACUUCGUGCCAGCAGCCGCGGUAAUAC